CCCAGGGAGGUAGUGACAAGAAAUAACAACACUGGAAAUUUUAUUUCUAGUGAUUGGAAUGAUGGGAAUUUAAACCCCUUUCAGAGUAACAAUUGGAGGGCAAGUCUGGUGCCAGCAGCCGCGGUAAUUCCAGCUCCAAUAGCGUAUAUUAAAGUUGUUGCAGUUAAAAAGCUCGUAGUUGGAUGUCUGCUGGAAGCAAUCAGUCCGCCCUAUUUGUAGGGUGUGCACUUGAUGAAUUCUGGCAUCUAUGUCCUAAUGUGAUAGAUACGGCGGUGUAUAUGGGUUAAUCCUAUAUACCCGUUUGUAUAUUAUAUUGGGAUAAUACCGUUACUUUGAGAAAAUUAGAGUGUUUGAAGCAGGCUAAUUGCCUUGAAUACUGCAGCAUGGAAUAACAACAUAGGAUUUCGGUUCUAUUUUGUUGGUUUCUAGGACUGAAAUAAUGAUUAAUAGGGACAGUUGGGGGCAUUCGUAUUUAACUGUCAGAGGUGAAAUUCUUAGAUUUGUUAAAGACGAACUACUGCGAAAGCAUUUGCCAAAGAUGUUUUCAUUAAUCAAGAACAAAAGUUAGGGGCUCGAAGACGAUCAGAUACCGUCGUAGUCUUAACCAUAAACUAUGCCGACUAGAGAUAGGAAAAUGUCAUUUUUCUGACUU
rnacentral:rRNA from 1 species